rnacentral:rRNA from 1 species
UACGUAGGGUCCGAGCGUUGUCCGGAAUUACUGGGCGUAAAGAGUUCGUAGGUGGUUUGUCGCGUUGUUCGUGAAAACUCACAGCUUAACUGUGGGCGUGCGGGCGAUACGGGCAGACUGGAGUACUGCAGGGGAGACUGGAAUUCCUGGUGUAGCGGUGGAAUGCGCAGAUAUCAGGAGGAACACCGGUGGCGAAGGCGGGUCUCUGGGCCGAUACUGACGCUGAGGAGCGAAAGCGUGGGGAGCGAACAGG